rnacentral:lncRNA from 1 species
UGUCAUUUGUGAGAAAUGCUUCAAAAUUUCCUGGAAGACCUAAGUCUAUUUUGACCGAACACUAAAAAAUUCUCUUUCAAGGAGGGUAAUACUCUGCAGAAAAAAUGCUCCCAACCACACAUGCAGUGUGCAACAGAUGCUGUUGUACUGAAAAUAGCUUUUACAGUCAAUCACUGGGAAAGGCAUUCAGUCAUCCAACCCAGGAAAAAAGUAUGUCUCCAUGCUUUCAACUGUAUAGAUUUUCACAUUUGAAUUUGAUUGAAAACAAGGAGAAAAUGAAGCUAUGCUUUUAUCUCAGAUAAGACAAGGCACUUACUGAGGACACAGAUGGAAGGGUCAUGAUAUUGGUGACGCUGCUCAGGAACUAUUCAGGCAGCAUUGUUGGGGAGUGGUGUGUGAACCCAGGGAGGGAGAGUAAGGAUGAGGGUGAUUUUGAAGCAUGGGCACACAUGCUGUUGGCUGACCACUCUGGUGGGAUGAGGCUGGCCAAGGGGAGGUUCCUUGACAUAAUGAGAAGGGGAGCUUUAAGCUUCCUAGCCAAAGCCAACAUACUCAAUUCAAUGUAGGCAAUUUGAAAAGAGGUAAAUUCCAAAUUCAUGUUCUGGGGAACCUCCCGCUGUGGCUCCGUGCGUUAAGGACCCGAAGCUGUCUCUGUGAGGAGGCAGGGUCGCUCCCUAGCUUCCCUCAGGGGCCUAAGGAUCCAGGGUUGCUGCAUGCUGCGGCGUAGUGUGCACAUGUGGCCUGGAUCCGGUGGUGCCAUGGCUGGGGUACAGCUCUGGGUGAACCCCUCCCCUGGGAACUUCCAUAUGCCACAGGUGUGGCCACACACACAUAACAAAACAAAAACAAGUCAUGCCAUGUUUCAAGGACAGAGUCCAAUGACUCCUCCAGCCUAUUUUAAAUCCCGUGGCGACUCCCGCUACUUCUUGGAAUGUUCCAAGACCAUUUUUCAUCUCCACACGGUCACAUGCCCUGCUUCUGCUCAGCACAGUGUGAUGGCACAGGUAUAAUAUUUAUCCUUUGCAUAACUGUUAACUAUACAGUUCCGUAGCCUUUUUGACUUCCACACGCUUUUCUACCCAUCAACACUACCUACACCCACACCUUUGUCAUCCUACCCGACAUGACCCAUCACAACUCACCUUCCCCUGGCCACCAGGCCUUGGUAAUUCCUGCUUCUGCUAUAUGAACGUGCCUACACAAGUAGUAUUACACGGUAUCUGUCUUGCUGUGCACCUGCCUUAUUUCACUCACCACAAUAGCUUUUUGUAGUGUUCGGUCCACCCAUACCCUAACGUAUUUCGAGCUUUAACUCCACUCUGCGGCUAAAGAGUAGCUCACUCGGAGUUUCUUUGGCAUUUCAUUUUGCCAGUCCUCUCAUUCAUCACCACAUUCAUCAAGGCCUUUUGCAUAAUGCCCAUCUUGGGACUCCUGGGAGAAACAGGCCAGGGAGCAUUCGGGUACGGAUUUCUCUGUGCUAUAAUGGUGAGAAAUCACAUUGCACAUCUGUCAAAGGGCAGAGCUUAUAAGAGCACCAAGUAUGACUCCUAAGGCAAACUAUUAGUGUUCUGCUAAUUGGAAUAAAGGUACCACCAGCAUGUGAUACACUGUCAAUGGCUGGACCUGGAGCGGUGGGAUUCGGGAACCGUCUGUGUCAUCUGUUGGACUUCUUUGUCCACAUAAUCCAGGUCGAAACAAUGUCUAAUAAUUUAAAGACACCUGGAAACACGGCUUCCCUGAGGGAGACACAGCAGCUAAUGUCCAAAAGCCAGCCGUCAUCGACACCCUGGCUAGAGAUCAUCUUCACCCUCCAACAUCAACCGGCUGUUGAGAUUUCAAAGUCGUUUUAUUUCCACAGGUAUAUAAACACUACCACCUGACUAAGUAUGUUUCAACUUGGACACACACGCACGCACGCACGCACGCACGCACGCACAAAGGAUACCACAAAAUACUUCCGAGUUCAUUCGUAUACAGGGGACCCUAAAGAAAAAUUAUUCUUGCAUGCACCGAAGGAGAAAAUCUCCACGUACCUGUCCCCGACCCAUUAGCGGGGUGCACUCGCUGGUGGCGCCAGGAGCAUAACUUUCUGAUGCAGCCAGAGGUGGAUCUUUGUGACGUCUGUCGAUUGUUCCUUUGGAUCCGGAAGCAGCAUCCUAUGCAAUCUAUCACAACAGGGAGGACUGCUGACAUCUUGCUGUCAGAAGACCGUAGGGAAAUUUGUACUCAUUUAUUCCAUUUAAUCUUUUGGUCCCCUGGCUCACCAGCUGCCCAGGAGUGCUGCCUGGAUCAAGGUCAGACUUAGAAGGAUCAUGCAGUUUAAAACAACCAACAGACAGGAUUUUUGAACAACCACCUUUGUUUAACUGAGACCUUCUAGAAACACAGCAAAGUAAGAGUGAUCGUGCCUGAUGGUCUGGUUCAAACACAUUCAGAAGAAUCAUGAACCUGGGGAAAGGGUUGUAGAUCCCUAAGGGCCUCGAUGCCCUGUUCUACGAGGUGGAAAUGGUAUUCUAGAAGGCUGACUUUUAGUAUGAUGUUAUGAGGACGACUUCAUGAAGUACGGGUAACAUUUUAGAAAAAGGAAGGACGGGUGCCUCGUCAAUGCUCCGUAUGCGUUCAGCCUUGAGUGAUGGCAAGAGUAAGCUAGACAGUCAGUGGUGGCUGAAAACCAAAGGGGGUAAAUGGAUGCCUCAAGUCGGGAAGGGUGGAAGCUUAUUCCCCAGCAUCUUCAUGGGAACGAUGCUUCGCAGCUCAUGGACAGUACCUAUUUUCAUCUCCUCUGAUACUCAGUCCUGUUGAAGGUGAGGAAGUGCAAACAGGACCCACAUGAGGGGUAACCAAGUGACAGUCCAAGCGUCACAACAAUGACGGGUGAUGAAUCUGAGGCAGGUGGACCAGACAUAUUAAUUAAGACAACGAACCCGGAAGUUAUACGCAUAACUCUAGAGAUAGCUCAGAGGGGUAGAAAUGAGAAGAAAAACACAAGAAGGAAAAAUGCAGGAGACAAAGUGAGCGAGCCCAUCUGAAGGAACAGCCACUCGGGGGAGCAAUGUAAACUUACCUUAGGAACAGUGAUUGAGAUUGCCCAUUCCUAAAGCAUGAGCCGUGAAGUGAGAGCGUCACACUGGCCACCACGUACAAACCUCUCAGGCCACAGAGCGACAGCCUGACCAUGAGGCAAGAAGUGCACAAGCACAUUACCGUGGUGACGUGUCAUCGUACCACUUUCAGAGGGAAGUCAACCCCUGCACAGGAUGGGUCCAACGGCUGCCGGCAGAGAGCGUGUUUCCAUGGACAAGCUUGGCUUUUCAGAGGAGCCUUGUCAUUUCCGAAACGGAAUCUCAGGCUCCCACAGAACCCUCUGACUAAGAAAAUAAUUUUCUAUGAGAGAGAACGACCUGUCCCCCAGGAGGAGUUGAGAGUGAACCUUGCAGGGUGAAGAGGCCAAAAAGCCAGCAUGUGCAGAAUUUAAGGAAGAACUACCCCUCCAUUUCUACUCUUCCUGAGUCACUAGACAUUUGCCAAUCAAACCAUUUCAAAACGUGAGAUUUAAGGUUAUUGUAACCAGGGUGAAUGUUUUCAUGUUUCAUGACGACUGCUAUUCUGCAGUGUCCUAUUCAAGUUUGCUGCUCACAAAAAUUACUAUUUUUGAUGCACAUUGCAAGUAAGUCUCCAAUUUGUCACAUGCUUGUAUCUUACUACAGUUACUCGUACAUACAACCUGAGGAAAGU